rnacentral:rRNA from 1 species
CAGUCGCCGCGGGAAUACGAAGGGGGCUAGCGUUGCUCGGAAUGACUGGGCGUAAAGGGCGCGUAGGCGGAUGGCACAGUCAGAUGUGAAAUUCCCGGGCUUAACCUGGGGGCUGCAUUUGAUACGUGUUGUCUAGAGUGAGGAAGAGGGUUGUGGAAUUCCCAGUGUAGAGGUGAAAUUCGUAGAUAUUGGGAAGAACACCGGUGGCGAAGGCGGCAACCUGGUCCUUAACUGACGCUGAGGCGCGAAAGCGUGGGGAGCAAACAGGAUUAGAUACCCCCGUAGUCCCUGUCUCUUAUAC